ensembl:lincRNA
ACAGUUUGUCAGGCAAGAAACCAGACAGACUCAGAAUAUGUCUGUGGGCUCACUUGUCAGAUUUCAAUCCGGAAGGGCUCCAGAUGCAAAGGCAAUCAUCUCUGGAAACCUAUGCUAUUCUACUGUGGCUCCUGUAGAGAUGAUAAGCAGCAAUAUUAGUAAUCCUGUUAGACUGAAUUAACCGUGUCCUGGGUUCCCAGCAGGCUGCAAGCAGGUGGUAGAAGUGGCAACUGAAUGUUUCAGAAGAGAGCACAGCAAAAACAAAAUAAAAAAAGUAUGGUAGCUAGAAGCAGUCCACGUUUUAUCUGGAUGGAAACUCAAGAUGGUUUUCAUUAAAAAAACAAAAACAAAAGAACUUUAUGAAAAUAGUAAAGAUGCCAGAACUUUGUAGUCUGCCUACUCUUCAUUAAGUCGUUCUUCUUCACUACUUGUACCAUGAAAACAAAGAAGGACUACUUUAUUCACUUAACAUUCGCAGCCUGAAAUUUAUAAUCAGCGGGGAAAGUACUGUCCAUCUAGUCACAGGCAUAACUGGAGUUGGAUAUUCCUGUGAACAAGCAUACCAUGUUUUGCCUUGGGAGAGAGGAAAUGAAAGAGAGGAAAAGAAAGUCCUUUAGCACAUCUAUCUGAUGUUUUUUUACAGAAAAAUUCCAGGUAAGUAUAUUUUGCUUGUUCCAAGUACAGGAGUUUACUUCUCAACCCCCCAACCCUAAGUGUCGGCUGGACCCUGUGACUUGCUUCCAAAGAACAGAGCAUGAAAUGGGGAAAACCAGUAAGUCCACAGUCGAGAAACCUGGCAGCUGCCAUGUUGGUUGGUUAGGUAAUCAAGGCGAACGUUGCCACUGAUACUACAGUGACAGCAUGUAUGUACCGGAUACAAUGCGACAAGAAUACUUUUUCACCUCUGUGGGGGUCUAAUCCACAACCCCAGCUGAGUCAUGGGGAAAACAUCAGAUAAACCCAAAUGGAGGGACAUUUUACAAAAUACUUGGCCAGUACUCCUCAAGAUUGUCAGGUCCUAGAAAUAGGGAAAGACUAAGAAAAUGCCAUAGACCAAAAGAGACGAAUAGUAAGACAGGAAGACCGAAUGCAAUGUGGACUCCUGGAUGGGAUCCUGGAAAAGCGUGUAAGUGGAAAACUCGUGAAAUCCAAGUGAAGACUUGAGUGUAAUUCAGAGUAAUGUUCCAAAGUUGAGUCUUGGUGUCAACAAAUCAAUCACGUGGAGCUAUAAAAUACAACCAUUAGAAAAAACGGGAUGAAGCCUAUAUAGGAUCCCUCCAUCUUCUCGUCGACAUCUACCUGUCAAUCUAGGGAUUAUUCCAGAACAAAGUUUACAAACCACCAACAAUAAGAAAUGUCUUUGAGAAGGAACAUGUCCAGGAGAAGAGGAGGCCAAGCGGGUCCUCGGACCUGCGUGUGGAUUUGAGGAACACUUGCCGUCACACGGCUUUUCUACCCCUGUUGCUCAGACAGAACACCCCACAGGAAUGAAGCUCACUGCUCCAACGUGCACGGACAGACUGCUCAUCCCCUCACACCACAGCCCGAGAACAGUCUUUCCUGCUGUCCAAAAACCACGCAGCCAGAAGACAUCGUCAGUGUUUCCCUUAUUUCUCCGCAUCAUCUGACCACCAGCCUAGAGGUGUACAGGCAUUUCGAUCUCCGGCUGCUAAAGGCCAAAGUACUAAUUUCCACCUAUUUUUAAAUAUAUUGUUUAAAGUUCCAAUUGUAUAGCCCUUUAAGACGAAAUUUUGAGAGCCCUGAUGUGUAUUUCAAGUGAGUGGCAAGAAGCUGCCUCCUGGACAGUACACAGUCGGUUUAUCACUCAGAUGGACAUUGCUAGAGGCUGGUUUUGACACUUACAUAGUGUUUUUAGUUAUUUUUAGUAUAUUGUUUUGAAUUUGUUCACAUAAGGGACUGGAGAAAAAAGACAGGAAGCAUAAGGAUGACAAAUUUUGAACUUUUCUAUGAAUUGCAUUUAUCUGAUCAAAUUUCUUAUGCAGCAAAUCAAGAUAUUGGUAUAUCACAAAAAAUGUUAAAAGAAACAAUAUAAAGAUAACUUUAUCCUAACUGGUUAUCCACACCUGCAGUGAGAGAUUGUAGAAAAGGGCUUGCAAAUUGAACCCUGAAACAUUUGUUCUUAUCUUACUCUUCAACAGGAAAAAGAGCAGAUUUUCCCAAUGGUCAAAAUCCAAGAAUUCCAGGCAUCCAAGGAUAAAAAGUUUUUGACUAUUUUUGCUGCCUUAACACUAAAGAAACAUAAUAAAAACUUAAAAUUUUCUCUAUAAAUACUUUUUAUGUAAUUAAACAGACUAUAUUACCUAUAAUACAGAGAAAACAAAAUUUUUCUUUAUAACUGUAACUAAGGGUUAUAUUAAAAUAAC